GACAAAAUAAAUAACUAAUAAGUUCUGAAAUCAUUUUUUAAUAUUAAGCAUAUAAAUUCAUUUUUCCCCAAUUGAUGCUUGGCAAGUAAAGACGAAAGACAUUAAUUAGACACAGAGGAGAAUCAGAAAGCAAAGAGUAUAGUACUAUUUUUAUUGUUUCCACUUCCACCAAACACGUGACUUAAAAAACGGCUGGGACUUUUUUUUGUCUGUAUUUCUUUCUUUCACCUAUGUACAGUAUCAUCGUUAGCCAAUUUGUAAAGGCACCAUGUAGGUUGGAUCCCGAUAUAUAUAUAUAUAUAUAUAUAUAUAUAUAUAUAUAUAUAUAUAUAUAUAUACAUACAUGUUAAUCAUUAAAAGAACAAUAAUAAAAUUAUCAGAAUUAGAAAAUACUAUUUUAUUUCAUUUAUAUGAUAUGUUAUUGUAAAAAUAUCAUAUUCUUUUAUUAUUGUACAUAGCUAUUUUUUUCUUUUACAAUCUUUCUGAAAAGAUAACUGUUUAUCCUUUUCAGAAAAAAUAUUUGAACGUCAAUUAUUUUUAUUCAAUCAUCCAUUCUUGAUAAUUUAUAAUUUAUAAAUAAUCACAUUUGUUUCCUUAAGUGGAUGAAUCCAAACAAGUUGCAAUGUAAAUUUUGAAGAAGAAAAAUAUGGACUUGUUAAGAUCUCUAUUAAAUGCAUAACAGUUGUCAUGAUACAAUUUUGAAAACAAUUUUUUUAGUGAGUAAAACAUAAUUAGUAAGAAUUGAGAAAAAAAAUAUGGUUAUCAUGCAUAACUAACUACGAAUAUUUACUUGUAAAAAAUAAGAAUUUUUUUACAAUAUGUAAAAUUGGUGAUUGAUAUUUAUAAUUAGUAAUUAAAAAAAUAGAAUAUCUUGUGCUUAAAUAUAUUUUCUUGUAAUGUUUUGGAAUUUACUAAUGUAAUUAAUUGUAUAAAGUCCCGGGACCCCAAUAUACUUCUGUCACUGCUUACAACACAUUGAAAGAGAGGAUCUGCAAUACUAUAUUGGUUAGUGUAUAUAGGCGAGUGAAAGAAAUCUCAGCCGUUGGAAUAAUUUUAGGCCACGUGUUUGAUGGAUAUGCACCGAAAUGGACUCCAUUUUUCCUAAGAAAUUGAGAGUAUUUGAGCUCAAUUAUUUGGUGAUGAAACUUAC
rnacentral:lncRNA from 1 species